AGCCAGAUAGCUUAGCAGGUUAAAGCAGCGCCCUUAUAAGACGCAGAUCAUGGGUUCAAGUCCCAUUCUGGCUACCA
rnacentral:tRNA from 1 species